AUGGGUUUGCCUUGGUAUCGUGUUCACACUGUCGUAUUGAAUGAUACGGGUCGAUUGCUUGCGGUGCAUAUAAUGCACACAGCUCUAGUUUCUGGUUGGGCUGGCUCAAUGGCUUUAUAUGAAUUAGCAGUUUCUGAUCCCUCUGAUCCUGUUCUGGAUCCAAUGUGGAGACAAGGUAUGUUCGUAAUUCCCUUCAUGACUCGUUUAGGAAUAACGGAUUCGUGGGGUGGUUGGAGUAUUUCAGGAGGAACUGUAACAAAUCCGGGUAUUUGGAGUUAUGAAGGUGUGGCAGGUACGCAUAUUGUGUUUUCUGGCUUGUGUUUCUUGGCAGCGAUCUGGCAUUGGGUAUAUUGGGACCUAGAAAUAUUCUCUGAUGAGCGGACGGGAAAACCCUCUUUGGAUAUGCCCAAGAUCUUUGGAAUUCAUUUAUUUAUUGCAGGGGUGGCUUGCUUUGGCUUUGGGGCAUUUCAUGUAACGGGUUUGUAUGGUCCUGGGAUAUGGGUAUCCGAUCCUUAUGGACUAACUGGAAAAGUACAAGCUAUAAAUCCAGUGUGGGGUGCAGAAGGUUUUGUUCCUUUUGUUCCGGGGGGAAUAGCUUCUCAUCAUAUUGCUGCGGGUACAUUGGGUAUAUUAGCGGGCUUAUUCCAUCUUAGUGUCCGUCCGCCUCAACGUCUAUAUAAAGGAUUACGUAUGGGCAAUAUUGAAACUGUACUUUCUAGUAGUAUCGCUGCUUUUUUUGCAGCUUUCGUAGUUGCUGGAACUAUGUGGUAUGGGUGA
rnacentral:rRNA from 1 species